rnacentral:sRNA from 1 species
UUGAACCUCACUGAAAACUCCUGCCGCUC